rnacentral:rRNA from 1 species
CUUUACCUCGGGACGCAGCAGUGGGGAAUAUUGCACAAUGGGGGAAACCCUGAUGCAGCGACGCCGCGUGAGUGAGGAAGUAUUUCGGUAUGUAAAGCUCUCUCAGCAGGGAAGAAAAUGACGGUACCUGACUAAGAAGCCCCGGCUAACUACGUGCCUGCAGCCGCGGUAAUACGUAGGGGGCAAGCGUUAUCCGGAUUUACUGGGUGUAAAGGGAGCGUAGACGGAGGAGCAAGUCUGAUGUGAAAAUCCGGGGCCCAACCCCGGAACUGCAUUGGAAACUGUUUAUCUAGAGUGUCGGAGAG